ACGUAGGGUGCAAGCGUUAUCCGGAUUUAUUGGGCGUAAAGGGCUCGUAGGCGGUUCGUCGCGUCAGGUGUGAAAGUCCAUGGCUCAACCGUGGAUUGGCGCCGGGGACGGGCGGGCUGGAGUGCAGUAGGGGAGACUGGAAUUCCCGGUGUAGCGGUGGAAUGUGUAGAUAUCGGGAAGAACACCAAUGGCGAAGGCAGGUCUCUGGGCUGUUACUGACGCUGAGGAGCGAAAGCGUGGGGAGCGAACAGG
rnacentral:rRNA from 1 species